rnacentral:rRNA from 1 species
AGUGAACGCUGGCGGUAGGCCUAACACAUGCAAGUCGAACGGCAGCACAGUAAGAGCUUGCUCUUACGGGUGGCGAGUGGCGGACGGGUGAGGAAUACAUCGGAAUCUACUUUUUCGUGGGGGAUAACGUAGGGAAACUUACGCUAAUACCGCAUACGACCUACGGGUGAAAGCAGGGGAUCUUCGGACCUUGCGCGAUUGAAUGAGCCGAUGUCGGAUUAGCUAGUUGGCGGGGUAAAGGCCCACCAAGGCGACGAUCCGUAGCUGGUCUGAGAGGAUGAUCAGCCCCACUGGAACUGAGACACGGUCCAGACUCCUACGGGAGGCAGCAGUCGGGAAUAUUGGACAAUGGGCGCAAGCCUGAUCCAGCCAUACCGCGUCGGUGAAGAAGGCCUUCGGGUUGUAAAGCCCUUUUGUUGGGAAAGAAAAGCAGCAGGUUAAUACCCCGCUGUUCUGACGGUACCCAAAGAAUAAGCACCGGCUAACUUCGUG